rnacentral:lncRNA from 1 species
UGUACAUUUGUUUCUCUGAGAUUUCUGUAAAUAUUUCUAUGCAAAGUUAUGUGUAUAUUUUUGAUUUGACAAGUAUUUAGUGAAGGGUUGGUCUACUUCCUACCCUGCUCUAUUUUUGUUUUUUAAGAGAAUUACACCUUUAUUCCUUGUUUUGUCAAUCAGGCAGGCUGAGUAGUUUGCUUUUUGGUGAUUAGUCAAAGAGACCAAAUCCCAUAUCCUCAUCAGACUCCUCUGACUCUUCCUUGGCUUCAAUCUUGGCUGGGGCAGCUGCAGCAGCGGGGUUUUUUUUUGCAGCGGUGGUAGCAGCAGUGCAGGGGCAGCAGCCACAAAUGCAGAUGGAUCAGCCAAGAAGGCCUUGACCUUUUCAGCAAGUGGGAGGGUGUAAUCAGUUUCCACAGACAAGGCCAGGACCUGCUUGUACCCAUUGAUGAUACAAUGAGGCACUGAUGCAACAGUUGGGUAAGCAAUCUGCAGACAAACACUGGCAACACUGUGGACACCCUCCAGAAAGCGAGAAUGCAGAACUUCCUCUGUAAUGUCAAGCACUUCAGGGUUGUAGAUGCUGCCAUUGUCGAACACCUGCUGAAUGACCAGCCCAAAGGAGAAUGGGGAGAUGUUCAACAUGUUCAGGAGGGUGGCCUCGCUGGCUCCCACUUUGUCUCCAGUCUUAAUUCGCAUCGUGGUGUUCUUACCCAUCAGCACCACAGCCUUCCCUCAGAGGGACAUGCGGAUCUGCUGCAUCUGCUUGGAGCCCACAUUGUCUGCUCCCACAAUGAAGCAUUUUGGAUAAUCAUCCAAAAGUUGGACGAUCUCAAUGAAGUAGUUGGAUUUCCAGGUCGCCUUGUCUUCCCUGGGCAUCACGGCGGUGCAUCAGGGAUUGCCACUCAGGGUUUAAAGAUGAUGUCACUCUCAUGAGGACACCUGGAAAGAGCUCUAUUUUUUUUUACUGCUUAUUUUUCAUGAUUGUUUUUGGAUCUUUUUGUCUAUUUUCUCUUGUAAGUUAGAUUCCCAUCAGCUUGUCAAGUUUUACUAAAGAACUGACAUUUUAGCUAUAGUCCUUUUCCUUAAAGGCUUCUUGUCUCUUUUCUCAGUAAAGAGUAUCACUAUCUUCCCAGUUGUUUAGUCAAACAAACACAAACAAACAAAAAAUCAAAACCAACCAAACACAACCCUGGGAAGUUUCUCAAGGCUCUCAGCAU